CAUCCUCCCCGAUCCACGGGGCUUUCCAGCAUCAAGGGGUACAUCGCGGCUCGCAGGCCUCACGCGAGAGGGAGACGAGACGCAGCUGCAAUAACGACGUGAGCAACCGUCUCUGUCGCCGCCGCCGCCGUAUCCGUCGCCGUCGGACGCCUGAUUCCGCUUCUUCCUAGGGCAAGCUGGCCAUCUCCCCUGAGGAAAAUAUAUAUGGCCGCAAGUAGCAAAUUUAACUUGGUGCAAGCUGCAAGGGGAAGGAAAGUUGCACUUGGAGAAAAAAUGGUUUCGCGAAAGAUUACCAAAAGGGAUUCUCCAAAUGAUCUGAAAUCCAGAGCCCAAUGGAAUCUAGAACUUGAAAAGGCUUUGGUGGAGAUACUUCUUCAUCAUAAUACUCCUUAUCACCGAGGGCGAAACGAAUGGAAUGGUGAAAUUUGGAAUCUGAUGGUUGGAAUAUUCCAUGCUAGACAUAGUUAUGUCAAAUUCUCAAAGUCCCAAGUUCAAGAGAAGGAAAAGGAAUUGAAGAGAGACUAUAAAAUGCUAAAGGAGGCACGUAAACAAAGUGGAG